CUUAAACAGGAUCAUCACUUAGCCUCCUGAGGUUAUUCGAUAAAUAUGCGAGGUUGAUUCAGAAGUUAGAGAUUGUUAAUGUUGAGGUUUUUAAGGUAAUUUUAUUGCCUUUAGAUGACAUUGAUCUCCUAUAAAUAUUCGUUCUGCCUGGUGAUUUUCUUUUGUAUUCUUUUUUUCUUUCUUCUUCUUGAAUAUAAUUUCCUCAACAGGGGUUUUGCCAA